rnacentral:lncRNA from 1 species
CGACGGAGGUCGUGUUGCCGGAGAUCCGCCUGCCGCGCACGUCGAGCAGGCGCGACCAGGGGCGGCCGAGGCAGCAGCGACGGCCGGGAGAGCCAGGAGAAGGGUCUUCACGGCGUCGCACCGAAGCUCCGAUCUGUAAGUUCAUCAAGAAAAGUUUCUCUUCUUUCUCUUUUUUUUUCUUUUUUUACGAAGUUUAAUGUCGGUAUGGUAAUUUAAAUUGGCUCUUCUUUGUAGUACUGCCUCGGAUGUUGAUCCUGGCAAUGUUGCGGGCUCGAGGUCAACCGAGCCAGCAGCUGCCGAUCAUAAUGCCGCAGAGCAGACUGCCCCCGAGCAGCCCAUGGAGCAGCCCGUCGUUGUGACUGCGACGGAGGUCGCCGACGAGAACUUGGCCCGAGACAGGGCCAAGGCGAGCACCCCGACAAGGGGCGAUGAGAACGCGGGGACUCCUCCCCCGAGCAGUGUGGCAGAGGAGGAAUUCAGAGCUCCGUCCCCUGCUCCGGCUGAAGAAGAGAGGGUUCCUGUCCCAACUCCAGCCACAGCGGAGGCUUCCACGCUGGAGGGCUCCCCUAGCCGGGGUAAGGGUCCAAUGAUACCCAUUACCGUGGCUGGGGGUAGCACAGAGGGCGAGGAGGCCCAGACGGCCUCCGAUGAUGAAGUGGAGGAAAUCCAGGGGCGUCCCCACGAUGGUC